UCCGGCUUAUCACCGGCAGUCCCACUAGAGUGCCCAACCAAAUGCUGGCAACUAGGGGCGAGGGUUGCGCUCGUUGCGGGACUUAACCCAACAUCUCACGACACGAGCUGACGACAGCCAUGCAGCACCUGUCUCCGGUCCAGCCGAACUGAAGGGCUCCAUCUCUGGUGCCCGCGACCGGGAUGUCAAAGGUUGGUAAGGUUCUUCGCGUUGCUUCGAAUUGAACCACAUGCUCCACCGCUUGUGCAGGCCCCCGUCAAUUUCUUUGAGUUUUAAUCUUGCGGCCGUACUCCCCAGGCGGAACACUUAUCGCGUUGGCUGCGGCACGGACAGAUUCGACUCCGCCCACACCUAGUGUUCAUCGUUUACGGCGUGGACUAC
rnacentral:misc_RNA from 1 species